CUUCAGGAGGGGACUGACGGAAUACGGCAAGAAAUACAUGGUUUGGAGCAGGAAAUUAUAUUGUUUUGACAGAUUUAAAUAAAGAUUAAAUGUUUAGUUUCACUACUAGAGCCCAUCCCCGGCAUAAAUGUUCAAAAAUAUUGUGCAUUUUAAUAUUACGAGAUUUUUCUUUUGGAAACAAUUUAAUACUUUUUUAUUUGAUGAUUUAAACUGGACACAUUUUUGACAAAAUGUUCAACGCGCUUAAAACUGGACACGAGCAGUCAGAUGAGCCAUAAACAGUUCAGGUCCAGCCCGAGAGCCAGUGCUGGAGUCAGGGGGACCUCCGCGCGCUGUCAGCCUCGCUGGAGCGGACCAGUGCACGCUGUCAUCCCCAGAGGAGGAUGCGCUCAUUCCGGGCCAAGAGCCUCUCGCUUAGCGUUUACUUUGAUGAACGUAGGACAUACGGACAGAUACGGGGCGGUGUACCCCCAGCGUGCAAAGCAAGCCUUCACAAUGUUUUGUCGCUUUGGGAAACUCGCCACUAUACAGAAACUAUUGCGCACGGACUUGGAUCUGACCAUCCGCGCUAACACUGGAGGGCGCCAUCGUGACAGGGAACUGGAUGUGUGAAGAAAAAUACCAAACUGGGAGGCAGGACAGAGACAGACACUCAACGUCUGGAAGAGGACAAAACUGUACAUUUUUAUGUGUAAGAAACAAACAGAUAAAAUAUUUGCUAAUAUUAA